CCUACGGGGGGCAGCAGUGGGGAAUAUUGCACAAUGGGGGAAACCCUGAUGCAGCAACGCCGCGUGAUCGAAGAAGGCCUUCGGGUCGUAAAGCUCUGUCCUAAGGGAAGAAGGAUGACGGUACCUUAGGAGGAAGCCCCGGCUAACUACGUGCCAGCAGCCGCGGUAAGACGUAGGGGGCGAGCGUUAUCCGGAAUCACUGGGCGUAAAGGGUGCGUAGGCGGCCGAUAAAGUCUGGGGUGAAAGGCUACGGCUCAACCGUAGUAAGCCUUGGAAACUUAUUGGCUUGAGUGCAGGAGAGGAGGUCGGAAUUCCUGGUGUAGGAGUGAAAUGAGUAGAAAUCAGGAGGAACACCAGAGGCGAUGGCGGCUCUCUGGACUGGAACUGACGCUGAGGCACGGAAGCGUGGGGAGCUAACAGGAUAAGAUACACCUGUAGUC
rnacentral:rRNA from 1 species